GUGAAGGACUAAUCCUUGCCUGGCGCAGUUAAUCUGUAGUGACCUUUCGCAUAUGGAAUCGAUAUUUUGAGGCUGGGGUGUACAAGUAGGUUCUGAGAAUUCUUUAUAAUGAAGAAGUGAUUCCAUUUGAUAACCACACAUGGUAGAUGGCACUAUUCGGCUUACGGGAGUCUCAGCCCAAGACUGGCGCAGGGCCGAAUGAGCCAGCAGAACUUAAACCAGAGGGAAAUAAAUCCUAUGCUUUGAAAGCCCCUAGAAGAGUAAGCCCCCUCAAGCCCAGGAAAAGGGGCAGAGGACACCCGGCGCAGAGGGAGGCGAUCCUAGACACAACCUUUUGUCUGCAGAUUAUCAAGACUGUGUCCUAGAUUCCAAGGUGACAGUGCCACAGUGUCCUGGUGACCAGUUUUCUAGUUCCUCAUCUUCCAUGGUGGAGACAUGCCCAUUGAGGAUAAAAUAAAGAACUAAGAGACGAGGUAUCCCUAUGUUGCCCAGACUGGUCUCCAACUCCUGGCUUAAGCGAUCCUCCUGCCUCUGCCUCCCAAAGUGCUGGGAUCACAGGCUUGGCUAAAUGAUUUGCUUUGGCCUAAGAGAUGUCAGCAAACAUGAUGUGAGUUCAGUAAGUGUUUGCACAUUGGCACAUUGCUAUCACCACGUUAAGAAGUCCAAGGAGCCAACUUGAAGAUGAAAGACAUACAGAGAGAAAUGUCCAGAUCCUCAGCUGUCUCAACUGAGCUCAACCCCCUGGAAAUCCCCCAACUGAAUGCAGCGCCAUGAGUGAACUCAGGUGAAACAGCAGAAGAGCUUUCCAGGCAACCCACAGAAUCAUGAGAAAUAGUAAAUUAUUGUUAUUAGUCUCUAAGUUUUGGAGCUUUUUGUCAUACAGUCAUAAAUAAUUAAAACGCAUGCCUUAUUUAUUUUUUA